rnacentral:sRNA from 12 species
AGCCGUGCCGUGUCGGGUAGCAGAAAUGCCCCGGAGGUGUUCGCAUUUGAAGCCUUAGCAAUACGUAGCACGGCCUU